UAUGGUAAUUGUCAGCCGCCGCGGUAAUACGUAUGGUGCAAGCGUUAUCCGGAUUUACUGGGUGUAAAGGGAGCGUAGACGGAUGGGCAAGUCUGAUGUGAAAACCCGGGGCUCAACCCCGGGACUGCAUUGGAAACUGUUCAUCUAGAGUGCUGGAGAGGUAAGUGGAAUUCCUAGUGUAGCGGUGAAAUGCGUAGAUAUUAGGAGGAACACCAGUGGCGAAGGCGGCUUACUGGACAGUAACUGACGUUGAGGCUCGAAAGCGUGGGGAGCAAACAGG
rnacentral:rRNA from 1 species